rnacentral:lncRNA from 1 species
GAACAGCCCUUUCCCACCUUCCCUGCCCCCAGCCUUGCUCCCUUUGGCUGCUCUUAAAAUGGGCUUUACAGAGCAAGAGAGGCCAACUUGAGGAGCAUGCACACUGUGAUACCCUCAGUGUGGCAGAGAUGUGGAAGAGUGUUUUGGGGCUGUGCAUCAAGGGGCACGAAAAAGGAACUUCAUUGGAUGGCAAAGAUGGCAAAGAUCCUGCCCUGACCCAUAGAUGGAGGAGACAACCCACCAAAGGUGUGUGACCCCUGCAGGGCAGCAAACCUGCCCAGUGUAGCUCAAACAGAUGAGGCACUGCUCCCCUGGGGUAUAAAGCUCUCC